UAACGUUACAUAAAACAGAAAAUAUUUGGGUAAUCUGUAACGCUCUUUUCUGGGUUAUUUACAUUAGAGUCAGCUGUUGGUGUUGGGAAACGUGACGGACGGCCUUUGAACCUUUGGUGUCAAUUUACUCGUCUUGCCAGCUUGUUUACUCUAAGAUGAAUUACUCGAGAUUUCUUACAAGAGUUUCCAAGAACAGGCAGCCAUCCCUUAUUAGAGAAUUAACCAACCUGCUUUCCGAUGCUUCCCCUGAACUUGUUUUCAUGGCUGGAGGUCUGCCAAAUCCACAGAUGUUUCCAUUUCAAGCUGCGUCAGUUACCCUAAAGGAUGGCCGAGCUCUCACCAUUCAUCCAGAUCUCAUGACUGAUUGUCUGCAGUAUGGACCUACUCCUG